rnacentral:rRNA from 1 species
GACGAACCGUGCAAACGUUGUUCGGAAUCACUGGGCUUAAAGGGCGCGUAGGCGGGCAAGCAAGUCGAAGGUGAAAUCCCACGGCUCAACCGUGGAAGUGCCCCCGAUACUGCUUGUCUUGAGGGAGAUAGGGGCGUGCGGAACUUCCGGUGGAGCGGUGAAAUGCGUAGAUAUCGGAAGGAACACCGGUGGCGAAAGCGGCGCGCUGGAUCUCUUCUGACGCUGAGGCGCGAAAGCGUGGGGAGCAAACAGG